AUUUCGUACUUGUCAAUAUACAUGUGAAAAUUUGAAUACAAAAUAUGAAAAUCUCCUACAUCUCAACAAUGAACAGUUGCUCCUUUUCAUUAUGUUCCUGGUUUGGAACUCAACUGCAGUACAGGCUGCUUAUUUGAACAGGUGCAUACAUAAUGUGGUGUGGUUUAACAUGAAUGUGAGCGCGCAACCCUCCCCUAACCUGGGACA
rnacentral:lncRNA from 1 species